rnacentral:rRNA from 1 species
AUGGCUUACCCAGUUCAGCCAUUUGCCCGCCUAUGCCUCGCCCUGAUAGCUCUCUUGUUGUUUCCCAUGGUGUCUGGCAACUGGAAAGGCUCUAACCAGAUCCGCCUGAGAUGUGGCGCCACCAGCAGUGUCACUGAUUUUGAUGGUCGAACGUGGGAAGGGGACGCUAACUUAAGGAGGUUACCUCUUCCUGGCUUUUCAGUCGAUACGCCAUCUCUAGACCCCUCACUUCCUUCCCCAGUACCUUACAUGACUGCUCGCAUCCUCACUUUGAAUUUCACAUAUCUUCUUCGAGUUGACCCUGGCCGCAUGUUCCUUCGGCUCUACUUCUAUCCAACUUCUUAUGGUGAACAUUCUGCUGCAGAUGCCUUGUUUAGUGUCACUGCCGGGAUCCAUAGCCUUCUAAAUGACUUCAGUCCUUCCCGUAGUGCUCAGGCCAUGGGUCGGACUUGCCUCAUCCGUGAAUACUCCUUGAAUGUUACUUCAGUUGAACUUAAUGUCACAUUUACCCCAUCACCACGCCAUGCUGGAUCUUACGCGUUUGUUAAUGCCAUUGAAAUCGUGCCCACUCCAGACAUUUUCACGACACCGGUGCCAAGAUUUGUGAACGGUGGGAACCCAGAUCUAAUCCCGAUUUCCUCUAGCAUAGGCCUUGAAACAAUGUACCGUCUUACUGCUGGGGGUAGUGGGUUUAUCCUUGGGGGAGAUGAUUCUGGCUUUUACCGCAUAUGGGAAGGGAGCUCUCGCUAUAUGCUUUCAGGUGGCUUGAGUAUUCAGAAAGGCAACAAUGUCACGAUCAAUUACCCGCUUAGUAUGCCAGAUUACAUAGCACCGAGCCAAAUCUAUGAGACAGCAAUAUCUAUGGGGAGAAAUCCACGUGCCAACAUGAGGUACAAUCUUACAUGGAUUUUGCCUGUCGAUGCAGGGUUCUACUACCUUCUGAGAUUCCAUUUCUGUGAGAUCCAGUAUCCAAUAACCAAGGUAAACCAGAGGAGUUUCUUCGUAUACAUCAACAACCAGACAGCAGUGGAGCAGACGGAUGUCAUUGCUUGGAGCGGAGGAAUCGGUAUACCAGUUUACACCAACUACGUCGUUGUCACAGUUGGUCAUGGUCAGACAGAUCUGUGGGUAGCACUCCACCCUGAUCUCAGUACCCGUCCAGAAUAUCAUGAUGCAAUUCUGAAUGGCCUGGAAGUCUUCAAGCUACAGGAUAACAGCAAUAAUAAUCUUGCUGGUGUCAACCCUACACUCAAGCAAAAUAGUGACCGUCCAGCAUCUCAUGGUCAAGAUAAAACAAAUGCUAGAAUCCCAGCGAUCAUUGGAGGUGGAGCUGCUUCUGGUGUCUUGGCUUUGUUCAUUUCCAGUUUCUGCAUUUAUGUUAUGUACAGGAGGAAGAAAACUAACUACACUCAUGGCAAGACCAACGGGAAUCCUCCCAACGGAGAUAGAGAAUUGCUAUUGGCCACCUCGCGCUCGCAGGAUUUGAAGCUUUGCCACCACUUCACGUUCAAGCAAAUCCAGGAAGCCACCAACAACUUCGAUGAGACCUUUCUCCUAGGCAAAGGUGGGUUUGGGAACGUGUACCACGGUCAGAUAGCUGGUACGCAGAAGGUGGCAAUCAAGCGUGGUAACCCGCAGUCCCAGCAGGGCAUCCAGGAAUUUCGGAAUGAAAUCGAGAUGUUGACCAAUCUCCGUCAUCGCCACCUUGUGUCACUGAUUGGCUAUUGCGAUGAAGAGUCCGAGAUGAUCUUGUUAUAUGAUUACAUGGCCAAUGGGACACUUCAGGAGCACUUGUACAACACCGACAAACCACCAUUGCCAUGGGAGCACCGCCUUGUCAUAUGCAUUGGAGCCGCACUGGGGCUGCACUACCUGCACACCGGUGCGAAACAGGCCAUCAUCCACCGUGAUGUGAAGGGUACUAACAUUCUGUUAGAUGACAAGUGGGUGCCAAAGGUUUCGGACUUUGGGUUGUCUAAGGCUAGUAAAGACGUGGACAAUACCCACGUGAGCACUGUUGUGAAAGGCACCUUUGGAUAUCUAGAUCCUGAGUACUUCCGGCGGCAGAGACUCACCAACAAAUCAGAUGUGUACUCCUUUGGGGUUGUUUUGUUUGAGGUUUUGUGUGCACGUCCAGUAAUAGAUCCUGAGCUUCCCGAGGAGCAAGUGGGCUUGCGUGAGUGGGCGCUGUCUUGCCAGAGAAAAGGUGUGCUCAGUGAAAUCAUCGACCCCUAUCUUAUGGGCAAGAUCACUCCCCAGUGCUUCAGAAAAUUUGCAGAGACUGCAGAGCAAUGUGUUGCUGAACGUAGUAUGGAUAGGCCAUCCAUGGGUGAUGUUCUGUCGAGCCUCCAGGUCGCACUACAGCUGCAGGAGGAAGACUGCAAUUUCUCCGAGGAGACACUACUGUUGAACAGGUCAUCGCUCGUGGCCACCAGGGUGCGACCAUUUUCAGGUUCAAUGAUGAGCAUCUCAGGAGUGAAAGCUGUAUUCUCAGAGCUCAUGCAUCCAGAUGGCCGAUAA